AACGAACGCUGGCGGCAUGCCUAAUACAUGCAAGUCGAACGAUCACUUCGGUGGUAGUGGCGCACGGGUGCGUAACGCGUGGGAAUCUGCCCUUGGGUUCGGAAUAACGUCGGGAAACUGACGCUAAUACCGGAUGAUGACGUAAGUCCAAAGAUUUAUCGCCCAGGGAUGAGCCCGCGUAGGAUUAGCUAGUUGGUGGGGUAAAGGCCUACCAAGGCGACGAACCUUAGCUGGUCGGAGAGGAUGAUCAGCCACACUGGGACUGAGACACGGCCCAGACUCCUACGGGAGGCAGCAGUAGGGAAUAUUGGACAAUGGGGGCAACCCUGAUCCAGCAAUGCCGCGUGAGUGAUGAAGGCCUUAGGGUUGUAAAGCUCUUUUACCCGGGAUGAUAAUGACAGUACCGGGAGAAUAAGCCCCGGCUAACUCCGUGCCAGCCGCCGCCGUAA
rnacentral:rRNA from 1 species